AUUGAACGCUGGCGGCAGGCUUAACACAUGCAAGUCGAACGAGUGGCGGACGGGUGAGUAAUGUCUGGGCAACUGCCCGAUGGAGGGGGAUAACUACUGGAAACGGUAGCUAAUAACGCAUACCAUCGGAUGAGCCUAGAUGGGAUUAGCUAGUUGGUGGGGUAAAGGCUCACCUAGGCAACGAUCCCUAGCUGGUCGGAGAGGAUGACGGGCCACACUGGAACUGGGACACGGCCCGGACUCCUACGGGAGGCGGCGGGGGGGAAUAUUGGACAAGGGGGGCAAGCUGGAGGCAGCCAUGCCGCGUGGAUGAGGAAGGCCUUCGGGUUGUAAAGUACUUUCAGCGGGGAGGCGGUACCGGAAGAAAAAGCACCGGCUAACUACGUGCCAGCAGCCGCGGUAAUUC
rnacentral:rRNA from 1 species